rnacentral:rRNA from 1 species
UACGUAGGGGCCUAGCGUUGUCCGGAUUUAUUGGGCGUAAAGAGCUCGUAGGCGGUUUGGUGAGUCGGGUGUGAAAUCUCCACGCUCAACGUGGAGGAGCCACCCGAUACUGCCAUGACUAGAGUCCGGUAGGGGAGUGUGGAAUUCCCGGUGUAGCGGUGAAAUGCGCAGAUAUCAGGAGGAACACCGGUGGCGAAGGCGGGUCUCUGGGCCGAUACUGACGCUGAGGAGCGAAAGCGUGGGGAGCGAACAGG